GAUGAACGCUGGCGGCGUGCCUAAUACAUGCAAGUCGAGCGAACAGAUGAGGAGCUUGCUCCUCUGACGUUAGCGGCGGACGGGUGAGUAACACGUGGAUAACCUACCUAUAAGACUGGGAUAACUUCGGGAAACCGGAGCUAAUACCGGAUAAUAUAUUGAACCGCAUGGUUCAAUAGUGAAAGACGGUUUUGCUGUCACUUAUAGAUGGAUCCGCGCCGCAUUAGCUAGUUGGUAAGGUAACGGCUUACCAAGGCAACGAUGCGUAGCCGACCUGAGAGGGUGAUCGGCCACACUGGAACUGAGACACGGUCCAGACUCCUACGGGAGGCAGCAGUAGGGAAUCUUCCGCAAAGGGCGAAAGCCUGACGGAGCAACGCCGCGUGAGUGAUGAAGGUCUUCGGAUCGUAAAACUCUGUUAUUAGGGAAGAACAAAUGUGUAAGUAACUAUGCACGUCUUGACGGUACCUAAUCAGAAAGCCACGGCUAACUAUGUG
rnacentral:rRNA from 1 species